rnacentral:lncRNA from 1 species
GGGCAUGGGGGCUGGGAGGUAAGAUGGCUAUUUCUUGGGUAGCUCUUAUUAGUUUCAUCAUCUCCUCCAUUGUUGAGCAGCGUGGAGCGCCCUGAAAAUUUUGAUAUAUUUGUGCUUCAUUAUUAAUGUGAUACUACACGUGGAAGCAAGCAAGUUCGUCCACACAAGCCCGCAAGUAGAUUUUUUUGUUUUCCCCGAAAAAAAAUCUAUUCGAGGGCUCAAGGACGAACUUCUUAGCAUGGAGAGGCUGUCUUUGGUACUCCAUCCAUUUAUGUAUCAUUUUGAUUUUUCUACAUUCAUAGAUUUUGCUACGUAUCUAGAUAUACAUUAUAUCAAAGUACGAAUCUAAAAAUAUCAAAGCGAUCUAUAUUUUGGACCGGAGGAAGCGUGAGGAGACAAGAACGCUUUAUAUGACUUACCUUGUAUGCACGGGGAGAGGCGUCCAAAGAGCAAGACUAGCAAGGUAGUCAUCACACACACUCUACCACCACCAUAGCUACUCCUCAUAUUGGAUAUUUUUACCUAUAGUUCUACGAACGUCUGAACUUUGUGAGAGUCAGAUUAGACCAUAUGAAAUGAGGCUUCGAACCUUGAUAUAUAUAGACACUACUCGGCAAAAGAUAG